CACGAUUACAUGAUUUCUUUUCAAAGCGUGAUUUUGUUUUGAAUUGUUAUUUUACAUUGCCGGCGCUAUAGUUUCCUCCGCCACUGUAUUCACAAGGAGUAACCGAACAAAACGGUACUCUAAAAAUCAAACGACAAGAAAAAAAGGGAAAAUGCAAGAAUGCGCGAGGUCUUUUUCGUUUUCUCGCCACUUGCAUUUUGAUUUUCAAUUGAAAUAUCUGGUGCCUCUGUGAUUUGUGAAAUUAAUAUAUUCUUUGCGGUUUUAAUUUUUAAGGUGGACUUACAUCUACAUACAAGUUGUGUUUUUAGGGUGGACCUAAGAACACAAAUUAAGUGAACAAAAAUGAUCAAUCACGGAACUCCUACGAAGACGUAGGUCAACGGAAAGUACACCAGCUUCCGUGCCAGAAACGCAAGAAAAGCCCACGCAUUCCCGACCUGUACUCUACUAUGUUGCGACCGAGGACAGUUGCGUUUUAGGAAGGAAGAGUUAACACGCAAAAUAAUACAAUUUCCCAGACAGAAGAAAAGAUUGCACAACAAACAGCAAAGCAAUGCCCUCAAUAAAGUUCAAACGAACUUAGCAACGUACGCUGAGCUUGCACCUUUUGGUCAGCGAUCGUGGGAAUCCAGAACAGCCAAAUUUCCAAGUUGAUCGAACUCAACUAAUGCAUACAAUAAAAAUUAAGUAUGGCCAACGGCGACGGCGACCAACAGUAGCAACAAAUUAUAUGAAAGAACGUCAGCAGAAACAUCAUCAGCGGCAGACACGGAGGCAGCGUUGGAGCGACGCAUAGCUAUAAAAAACAAUUGUGUAACCUAAGUAAAUUAGUUCUUAAUCCAACUCAAUAAAGAGAAGUUUGAUUUAUUUUUAUAUCAAAAUCAUAAUCAAUCUUUUAACUCAUACAUACAUACAGAUGAACACCCCAGUCGGAAGUUAGAGAACGCAUUUCAAUAAAAAUAAUGUAAGAAGCUAUAAAUAAGCAUUGUUUAUGCAUUCUAAAGAGUUUUUGUGAAAUCGUCCCUUCUACUAUAAGGCAUUAAAAAAGCC